GCCAGGCAUGGUGGUACAUGUCUGUAAUCCCAGUGGCUUGGGAGGCUGAGGCAGGAGGAUCGCAAGUUCAGUGCCAGCCUCAGCAAAAUUGAGGUGCUAAACAACUCAGUGAGACCCUGUCUCUA
rnacentral:sRNA from 1 species